rnacentral:lncRNA from 1 species
AUAUAAAAUAAAGCAUGAUUAAGUAUAAACAAGAUCUCUUUGAUAUUAUCAAAUAGGUGACACUUACAAAGAAGGCACCCACAAAAAAACAUAUAUUACAAGAUUUCAGAUAUUAACCCUCAUUUUCCUCCAAAUUACAAUUACAAAAGGAGGAUAUGCUAGAGUUUCAAAUACAUAAUCACAGUUACAAACUCUCUUAAUGAAAUCCACAUGAAGGUUUCAUUCUAAAUACCCUUUUUAUAAACCUAACUAGAGAGAAAGAACAAGACUUUUACUUGAUCUUUUCCUCCCUCUAAUAAUAAACAUGACCUCUUUUUAUUCUUCAAAUUAAAAAAAAAAAAGUUCUCACCAUCUCAAUUUUACAUGACACCUUAACUCAUGAACAAUUUUUCCACAGACCAAUUGAUAUUUACAUAUAUUACAAGAAAACAUUGAAUUAAGAUUAGCUUCCUCUGACACCAAAAAUCUCCACUUGCUUUUAGAACUCUAUCUUCUUUUUCUUUGUUGUUGUAAAAUGAAUUAUGCAACAGCUGAAAUGCUGCAGUUGCUCCUAUCCCUAUUGAGACAAUCAAAACCUUCAAUCCUCACUGCAGCUUGUGUGUGACCAAACUUCUUCAUUGGAGCACAACCUCUAGCUGAGGAAGAUGGUGAAGAGGGUGCCAUGGAAAAUGGACUAAAAUUCCCAUGACCAUUGCCAUUGCCAAAUUGCUCAUCUUGGAUCACAGGGUUUGAAGCCCUGCUAGGUGGAGAUCCACAAAAAAAUGGUGGUGGUGAUGAUCCAAAUUGGUCCCCAAAUCUUUCACUAUAGCAAUUUCCCUGCAAAAUCCAAAUUAAAACAAAUCAUUGUUAGAUUAGACAUCAUAUUUAACUUCAAUCAACAAUUAACAACAACAUCCAAGCUUCUUUUUUCCAGCCUAAACCCUCUGAUUCUCAUGGAAAAUCAUCAUGGUAAUCAAAGAUCAUUUGCCGACUUUAUUUCGGCCAGAAGAUAAUAAAGUCGGCAAAUGAUCUUAAAUGAUUCAUCCUUCUUGAAGUUCAUUAAACAUUUUAAUCAAAUCAAGUGAUUCAACAACAUGUAAGAUUGAUGAAAUAGAUGUUAUGUUCACAAUUCCCUAAAAUUGUGCAUGACCAAAACAUGGUAUUUGAUUUGAAACAUAUAUUAACCUUUUUUCAUGAAAAAUUAAGAUUUGAGAUAGAAAAUUACCUUGGGGAGAAUGAUAUCCAGAAGAUCUUCCCUAACACCUGAAUCUUCAACCUCUGAUUGAUAGCUGAUUAUUUUAUAAGAACAAACAAUAAAGUUAGAAUUUUUACAAAAACAAAUUGAUUGAAAAAAUUGACAAAAAAAUUGUGUAAAAUAAUUAAAUAAAAAUUAGGAAAAUACCUCAAAAUUUGUGGCCUAAAGGGUCUGAUAUGGUUUCUGUUCAUCAGACCAAAUCUAAUAGGUUUAGGGCAAACCAAAGAUUCCAUCCUCAUCUCUUCACAGCUUCUCAUGGCGUUCUUCUGCUGAUAGCCACAGUGAUUCAUCUUUUCACAGCUGAAAACAAAAACACCUGCAAAAUUCAAUAGAAAAUAUUAAAAAAAAUCCCUUUUUUCAUAAUUGGUUUGGUUUAUAUAAAUCUAAACAAAAUUGAACCAAAUCUAAGCAAAAUUGAACCAAAAAUUUGAUUUUUAAGGCUUAAAACAAAACCCUUUUGAUGAAAAUUUGUUUAGCAAAUGAUGAAAUCAAAAGGGGUUAAAAAAAUUGAGAUUUUUAUCAUUGAGGCAUAAACACAAACACCUUAAGGUAUGUUUCAAAAACUCUGUAAAAACAAAACCUUUUCUCAAAGGGGGUAGUUACCUGAGCUAAGCUGGCUCAGAGACUCCUCAGAGAGGAGAAGAGGAACAAAAAUGGAGCAAAGGAAAUUUUGGGUCUCAAAGGAACAAAGGGAGAG